rnacentral:tRNA from 1 species
UCGGGGGUGGUGUAACGGCAGCACGGGGUCCUUUGGAGUCCCAGGUCGGGGUUCGAAACCUCGCCCCCGAGCCC